rnacentral:rRNA from 1 species
GAUGAACGCUGGCGGCGUGCCUAAUACAUGCAAGUCGAGCGAACAGAUGAGGAGCUUGCUCCUCUGACGUUAGCGGCGGACGGGUGAGUAACACGUGGAUAACCUACCUAUAAGACUGGGAUAACUUCGGGAAACCGGAGCUAAUACCGGAUAAUAUAUUGAACCGCAUGGUUCAAUAGUGAAAGACGGUUUUGCUGUCACUUAUAGAUGGAUCCGCGCUGCAUUAGCUAGUUGGUAAGGUAACGGCUUACCAAGGCAACGAUGCAUAGCCGACCUGAGAGGGUGAUCGGCCACACUGGAACUGAGACACGGUCCAGACUCCUACGGGAGGCAGCAGUAGGGAAUCUUCCGCAAUGGGCGAAAGCCUGACGGAGCAACGCCGCGUGAGUGAUGAAGGUCUUCGGAUCGUAAAACUCUGUUAUUAGGGAAGAACAUAUGUGUAAGUAACUGUGCACAUCUUGACGGUACCUAAUCAGAAAGCCACGGCUAACUACGUG